rnacentral:ncRNA from 1 species
AUAAAGUUUGAUUCUUUCUUUGGUUUCUAUGGUUUUACUAAGUUUAUAUGAAAAUUAUAGUAGGGGAGGUAAAUAAAUAAGGUUUAAUACCUUAUGUUAAAAAAUUAAAAAAUAAUUAUUUAUGAAAGUUGUAAAUUCUCAGUAUAAAAAAUUAAACAAUAUAUGAAGUGUAUAAUUUAGUAGUAGAUUAAGAUUUGAUUAAAUUUUGUGCCAGCAGUCGCGGUUAUACUUUAAAUUCAAGUAGAAAUUUUUAUAAGGUGUUUAGUUAAUUGUAGUAGAGAGGUUUAUAAUAGGUUUUUAGAAGUAAAGGGUGAAAUUGAUUACUUUAAUUAAAACAGAAGAAACUUAAAUUGAGGCUGGGAACUCUUAGGUUUAAACUAGGAUUAGAUACCCUAUUAUUCUAAGAUCCAAAAAAUUACCAGAAUAUUAAAAGGUAUAUGCUUAAAAUUUAAAGAAUUUGGCGGCAGCUUAGUCUAGUUAGAGGAACCUGUUUUAGAAUUGAUAAACCUCGCAAUAUCUUACUUGUUUUAUGGUUUGUAUAUCGUCAUUAUUAGAUAACUUUUAUAGAAGUAGUUAUUUAAAAUAAGUGUUUAGGUAAAUUAGAUCAAGGUGCAGCUUAUGGACAAGUUAAAAUGGGUUACAAUAAUAUUCAUUUAUUAUGAAUUAAGUGUUGAAAGAGACUUAUGAAGGAGGAUUUAAUUGUAAUAGGGGUUUAAUAUGCCUAAGAGAUAUAAGUUCUAAGUUGUGUACAUAUCGCCCGUCGCUUUCAUUACAUAGGUGAGAAAAGUCGUAACAUAGUAGGUGUACUGGAAAGUGAACCUGGAUUGGC